rnacentral:misc_RNA from 1 species
GAUGAAGAACGCAGCGAAAUGCGAUAAGUAAUGUGAAUUGCAGAAUUCAGUGAAUCAUCGAAUCUUUGAACGCACAUUGCGCCCCCUGGUAUUCCGGGGGGCAUGCCUGUUCGAGCGUCAUUCCACCACUCAAGCCUCGCUUGGUAUUGGGCGACGCGGUCCGCCGCGCGCCUCAAAUCGACCGGCUGGGUCUUUCGUCCCCUCAGCGUUGUGGAAACUAUUCGCUAAAGGGUGCCGCGGGAGGCCACGCCGUAAAACAACCCCAUUUCUAAGGUUGACCUCGGAUCAGGUAGGGAUACCCGCUGAACUUAAGCAUAUCAAUAAGCGGAGGA